rnacentral:rRNA from 1 species
GACGAACGCUGGCGGCGUGCUUAACACAUGCAAGUCGAACGGAAAGACCCUGCUUUUGUGGGGUGCUCGAGUGGCGAACGGGUGAGUAACACGUGAGUAACCUGCCCUUGACUUUGGGAUAACUUCAGGAAACUGGGGCUAAUACCGGAUAUGAGCUCCUGCUGCAUGGUGGGGGUUGGAAAGUUUCGGCGGUUGGGGAUGGACUCGCGGCUUAUCAGCUUGUUGGUGGGGUAGUGGCUUACCAAGGCUUUGACGGGUAGCCGGCCUGAGAGGGUGACCGGCCACAUUGGGACUGAGAUACGGCCCAGACUACUACGGGAGGCAGCAGUGGGGAAUAUUGCACAAUGGGCGGAAGCCUGAUGCAGCAACGCCGCGUGCGGGAUGACGGCAUUCGGGUUGUAAACCGCUUUCGCCUGUGACGAAGCGUGAGUGACGGUAAUGGGUAAAGAAGCACCGGCUAACUACGUG